rnacentral:rRNA from 2 species
CGGCGUGCCUAAUACAUGCAAGUCGAACGAGUUCUCGUUGAUGAUCGGUGCUUGCACCGAGAUUCAACAUGGAACGAGUGGCGGACGGGUGAGUAACACGUGGGUAACCUGCCCUUAAGUGGGGGAUAACAUUUGGAAACAGAUGCUAAUACCGCAUAGAUCCAAGAACCGCAUGGUUCUUGGCUGAAAGAUGGCGUAAGCUAUCGCUUUUGGAUGGACCCGCGGCGUAUUAGCUAGUUGGUGAGGUAAUGGCUCACCAAGGCGAUGAUACGUAGCCGAACUGAGAGGUUGAUCGGCCACAUUGGGACUGAGACACGGCCCAAACUCC